rnacentral:rRNA from 1 species
GACGAACGCUGGCGGCGUGCUUAACACAUGCAAGUCGAACGGAAAGGCCCUGCUUUUGUGGGGUGCUCGAGUGGCGAACGGGUGAGUAACACGUGAGUAACCUGCCCUUGACUUUGGGAUAACUUCAGGAAACUGGGGCUAAUACCGGAUAGGAGCUCCUGCUGCAUGGUGGGGGUUGGAAAGUUUCGGCGGUUGGGGAUGGACUCGCGGCUUAUCAGCUUGUUGGUGGGGUAGUGGCUUACCAAGGCUUUGACGGGUAGCCGGCCUGAGAGGGUGACCGGCCACAUUGGGACUGAGAUACGGCCCAGACUCCUACGGGAGGCAGAAGUGGGGAAUAUUGCACAAUGGGCGGAAGCCUGAUGCAGCAACGCCGCGUGCGGGAUGACGGCCUUCGGGUUGUAAACCGCUUUCGCCUGUGACGAAGCGUGAGUGACGGUAAUGGGUAAAGAAGCACCGGGUAACUACGUG